GACGAACGCUGGCGGCGUGCUUAACACAUGCAAGUCGAGCGGUAAGGCCCUUUCGGGGGUACACGAGCGGCGAACGGGUGAGUAACACGUGGGUGACCUGCCCUCAGCUCUGGGAUAAGCCUGGGAAACCGGGUCUAAUACUGGAUAUGACUCCAUGACGCAUGUUGUGGGGUGGAAAGCCUUGUGCGGCUGAGGAUGGGCCCGCGGCCUAGUCAGCUUGUUGGUGGGGUGANGGCCUACCAAGGCGACGACGGGUAGCCGGCCU
rnacentral:rRNA from 1 species